rnacentral:tRNA from 1 species
UGCUGGGUCGUCUAAUUGGUAGGACAACGGUCUCUGAAACCGUGAAUCUUGGUUCGAGUCCAGGCCCAGCAA